UGCACCGAGCGGAUGAGUUGCGAACGGGUGAGUAACGCGUAGGUAACCUGCCUCUUAGCGGGGGAUAACUAUUGGAAACGAUAGCUAAUACCGCAUAAAAGUCGAUAUCGCAUGAUGUUGACUUGAAAGGUGCAAUUGCAUCACUAAGAGAUGGACCUGCGUUGUAUUAGCUAGUUGGUGAGGUAACGGCUCACCAAGGCGACGAUACAUAGCCGACCUGAGAGGGUGAUCGGCCACACUGGGACUGAGACACGGCCCAGACUCCUACGGGAGGCAGCAGUAGGGAAUCUUCGGCAAUGGGGGCAACCCCUGACCGAGCAACGCCGCGUGAGUGAAAGAAAGGUUUUUCGGAUCGUAAAAGCUCUGUUGUAA
rnacentral:rRNA from 1 species